AGCGAACGCUGGCGGCAUGCCUAACACAUGCAAGUCGAACGAACUCUUCGGAUUUAGUGGCGGACGGGUGAGUAACACGUGGGAACGUGCCUUUUGGUUCGGAAUAACUCAGGGAAACUUGUGCUAAUACCGAAUGUGCCCUUCGGGGGAAAGAUUUAUCGCCAUUAGAGCGGCCCGCGUCUGAUUAGCUAGUUGGUGAGGUAACGGCUCACCAAGGCGACGAUCAGUAGCUGGUCUGAGAGGAUGACCAGCCACACUGGGACUGAGACACGGCCCAGACUCCUACGGGAGGCAGCAGUGGGGAAUCGUGCGCAAUGGGCGAAAGCCUGACGCAGCCAUGCCGCGUGAAUGAUGAAGGUCGUAGGAUUGUAAAAUUCUUUCACCGGGGACGAUAAUGACGGUACCCGGAGAAGAAGCCCCGGCUAACUUCGUG
rnacentral:rRNA from 1 species